UGGCCUGUUCCUGCCUUAACUGAUGAUGA
rnacentral:piRNA from 1 species